GGAGAGGAGGUGCCGGAGCUCAGUGUGAGCAGGAGAGAGCAGAUGUACGAGGGGGAGCGGAGGAACCGGAGCUCAGUGUGAACAGGAGAGAGCGGAUGUACGAGGGGGAGAGGAGGGGGAGAGGAGGUGCCGGAGCUCAGUGUGAGCAGGAGAGAGCGGAUGCACGAGGGGGAGAGGAGGUGCCGGAGCUCAGUGUGAGCAGGAGAGAGCGGAUGCACGAGGGGGAGAGGAGGAGCCGGAGCUCAGUGUGAGCAGGAGAGAGCGGAUGCACGAGGGGGAGAGGAGGAGCCGGAGCUCAGUGUGAGCAGGAGAGAGCGGAUGCACGAGGGGGAGAGGAGGUGCCGGAGCUCAGUGUGAGCAGGAGAGAGCGGAUGCACGAGGGGGAGAGGAGGUGCCGGAGCUCAGUGUGAGCAGGAGAGAGCGGAUGCACGAGGGGGAGAGGAGGUGCCGGAGCUCAGUGUGAGCAGGAGAGAGCGGAUGUACGAGGGGGAGAGGAGGUGCCGGAGCUCAAUGUGAGCAGGAGAGAGCAGAUGUACGAGGGGGAGAGGAGGUGCCGGAGCUCAGUGUGAGCAGGAGAGAGCGGAUGUACGAGGGGGAGCG